UGCCCUUAAAUACGACCUUUGUUUUGGUUGUGGCAAUGCGUCGUUACGCGUCUGCGGUGUCCUUUAAGUGGAUCCUCAGCCAUCCGUAAUCGAUGAUUUCGUUUUCGGAUUGGACGAUCCGUCGAUCGUUGAUUUCGUUUUCGGAUUGGAUGAUCUGUUUCCGAUAGGUGGUCCAUCCAAAUCCUCAGCCAUCCCUUAAUCGUUGAUUUCGUUGACGAAUGGGAUGUUCUGUUCUCGGCACUUGAAACAGAUCUACUUUCCAUGCGGGGUGUAUCAAAAGCCUUUUGUUCAUGUGGCUUUCGUUUUCGGGGACUUAGACAUUGGUCUUGAACGAAUCGGGUGAUCUAUUGUCAAUCGCUGCGGAUCGGAACCGUUUGAUAUCUGUUGUUUUUGUUUUCUGAACGAAUUGGAUGAUCUAUUUUUUUCCCAAAGGAAUAUUGAGAGGCUAGGAGUUCCGAUUAGUGGAAUCCGACUAGUGGAUUAUUCUUUAACCGCUCUUUUUUUUUAUUUUCUUGCGAUCUAUCAGAGGCCUUCACAAUUUUGCCGGAUUAAGGCUAUUUGCGACAGAUUUUAUAUGUACUUACGAAGCGGUAGGUGAGGCUGUGGUGUUUGUGUGGGUAUUAUCCUAAUGGAACCCCCGCGGAGUCUGUGAUGCAAUUUGUGAAGGUUGCUCUGGUUUUCCGAAAUGAUCUGAACAAGGGAUGUGUCCUGUUUGUUCUGGUUUAGUUGGCCUUCGUUACGUUCAAUUUUUAUUUGUUGCAUUUAUUUCCACCAGUUGGUUAUGUUUGUUUGUUUUUAUUUUUUGUGUGCAAGGGAAAGCGUCUGGAUAUGAUAUUUGAAAGAGAGAGGUGAGUGUUUUUCUACCUUGUUAUGAUAUUUGGUUUGAGAUAUGCGCUAACCGUAUCAGCAUCAAUGCUGUGUCUUUUGGAUACUCUAGUUGGAUUUAGACGGGUCUCAGGGAAGAGUUCCAUCAUCUUCUCAUUUAUUGAGGUUGCCUGUUAAAUUGUUGAUUAUUUUUCCUGUCCUCCUUCUGUCAGCAUUUUAUAUAUAUUGAAGUUAAGUCUAUCUCUUUAUUUUCUGAAUGUUCUAUUCCUAGUGUUUUUGUGGGCAGUUGCAGAAGCAUCAUCGUUAGGCAUGAUUCUAUUAAAUAGAGAUGGUAACUCCUUUGUUGGAUUGUUUUUGGUAUGAGACCUAGGAUUUUACAUUUUUGAUAAGGCUAGUUUCUGUGGCAGAUUCUAUAUGUAUCAUCGAUGCUGUUGGUGGGGCUAUGGUGUUUUUGUAGUUAUUAUCUGUAUGGAGCCACACGUAGCUGUGAUGCAGUUUGCAAAGGAUGCUCCAAUUAAGGAUGCUCUGGUUUUUGUUGAAUGAUUUAAAUAGGUUUUCCAUUGGAUAGUGUUAUAUUUAAGGGGUUUCAUUGUUGUGACAUAUGUCGCUUAUUAUGAUGGAUCCAGGGCUUCCGAAAUUAUCUGAACAGUGGAUGUGUCCGGUUUGUGCUAGUUUAGUCAGCCCUUGUUACUUUCAAACAUUAAUUGUUGCCCUUACGUGCACAAGUUGGUCAUUUGAUACGGUUCUCAUCAAAGUAUGGUUGUUUGUUUUUAUUUGUUGUCUGCUAGGGGAAGCUGAUGGACAUCUAGUUUUGCAUGGGCAUGGGACAUUUUUUUGAAAGUGACAUCUAGUAUUUGGUUUCGAUAUGUUCUUACUCUAUCAUCAUUCAUGGAAGAGGUUCCUUUCACUUUUCAUUGGCUAUUUAAUUGUUGAUUGUCUGUCUACUUAUUCCAUUGGCUUGCUUCGUACAUUUUAUAAAUUUGCACUUUUGAAGUCAGUCUUUCUCUUUGUUUUCUGAAUGUUCUAUUUGUAGGGUUUUUGUGUGCAGUUGCAGAAGCAUCAGUAUCAGCAUUAGCCAUAAGCCUGGUUAUUAGGAUUAGGACCUUUCUUGGAUAGAAUUUUUGGUACGAGACAUACGUUUUGCCUGUUUUAAAAGGAUAGUUUAGAUUUAGGUGUUUAAUUUAUGCACGUUUGUGAUAUUAAGUUUUUGUCCAAUUGUUAAUUGUUCUUGUUGUUGUGAUUUUUUAGCUGUUACUUGCUUGGCAAGUCUUUUUGGUCAUACUAAUGUCUCAUUUGUCUCUUCUUGGAUUCUGUCAGAUUUCUAUUUUGCAGCUUAAUUAUCUUUUUUGUUUUAACCUGCCUCUGGUCAUCUGAUGUUUGGUUUCAGUUAGCUUGUAGAUGUUUUUUUAGUAUGACAUUUAAUCAUUUUUUGCUUUGAGUAAAUAACUUUGAUUGGUCUUUACUUUGAUUGGCUCAUGUUCUAUUGUUUUUUAUUCUACUUUAUCUCUUAUUAGUUGGCAUUUUUUAAGUUCUCUGUACAAUUUAUAGUUUUUUGUUCCAUGUAAACUUUUUUGUCCUUGUGUGUUUCUAGUGUAACUUUUGACAGGUGUCUUUUAUGUUGCCCUAUAAUGCUGAUGUGGCCUCAUAUGAGAGAUUAUUUUACCUUAAACAAUUCAUCAUGUUGUUUGUUUGCAGGAUUUAAAUAGGGUAUAUGGAAGGUUAUUUUGUUUGCCUAUUUGGUUUAUUACAUCCAGUUGUAUUCUUGGCUGCUCUUUCCAGAUGAAAUUUGGAUUUUCUGUCCUGGUUUUCUACAAUUAGUUAUUUCGUUUGGUAGCAGGAUUUUAUUUUGGAGUUAAUACAUUUCUAAAUUGGGUUAAUUACAUCCUUUGGUGUUCUUGGCUAGUUGUAUUAGAGGAAGUCAGCUAAUUUUGUUGAAUAACUUGAAUUCUGUAGUCAUUGUUUCCAUUGGCAUCAUUGCUGUUCAUUUAUUGCCAAAAUGCAGUCCAACAGUGCAAAGUUGUUACAUUUGAAAGGUCAUUAUUUUCACCGACUUUUUGAUCCUUUGGCUUAUAAAAGUUCUCUGCUGCAUUUCUCUUCCUCUUAAUUAACUUCCUUAUCUCUUUUGAAUCUUGUUUCCUUUAUCUUGUGUGGAAGUUAGGACAUGGUAAUGAUUUUACGUACAGGUACUUGUGCUAUUAAGGUGUCUUUGUUGGUGAUCUUGGGUUAUGAUAAUUGUACUUCAUAUCGAUUUUUGAAUCAAUUCAAUAGCACAAUUGAUGGCUUCAAAAACAAGUGGGUUUUAAGGUGCAUUGUUACUUUUUUCUUGUAUCAAGUUGGAGGGAGGUACAGGCAUGCUGUGUUCUCUUGUUUUUCCUUGAAAUUCAUUUUAUAUUGCUGAUUUUUAUUAGAAGUGGUAAGUUAACUUCUCAGGCUGAUGUACUUUUGGCUGCUCAUUUUAUGUGUUGUUUGUCUACUUGAAGUUUGUUUUGGGAGUUGGGUUUCACGUUAAGAAAGCUGGGUUUCUCUUCAUUAUGGAGCCUUCACAUUAUAAACAAAGGAGUCCAAUUUUCAUCAAGGAAUCUUCUUGUGGGGACCCAAUUACUAAUUGAAUAUAUUUCCUUUAUGAAGAUUCUGCAACCAUAGCUGAUACAAACAAGUUUUCAAGAUUGUUGUUUUUGGUUUGCAUGAUGAAGAGAAUAGAAGUUCUAACCUAUACUCUUGGUGAUGUGAACAAUGUAGUUGGAACAUCUACGGAAAGCCUAGCAUGAUUAAACAGAAAUUCAUGGGAAAGACUUUAUUGGCUUUUAACUGGUUUUCCCAGGAUUAACAUUAGAUUGAAAAGCUUGGAACUGACAUUUGAAUUGAUCCGCUAGUACCUGUUGCUGUUGCCCAUGAUGUUUGCAAGUUUUGGUUGGAUUUUGUUCUUUUCCUGUGUGUACAAGUUUUGGUUGUGUUUGGUUGAAAGGGGGCGGUGCAUUUGGAUUGAGAUUAGCAAAUUGAAAAGAUUGGAAAAUGACUUUUGAUUGAGAUUAGGGCAUUGAGAAGGUUGGAAAAUGAUUUUUUAGUUGAUUUGCAAGUCUCAGUAUCUAUUACCGGUGAUGUUCUGCAAUUUAUGGAUGGAUUUUGUUUUAUUUUCCCGUGCCUACAUAUUUGUAUGUUCCAAAGAACUUUGGAAGUUCUGUUUUUGGUUGAAAACAUGGUGCAAUGGGAUGUUGUUUACGCAAAUUGGUUGUACCAAAAAUUAUUGUGUAGUACUCAGAUUUUGUCAUAAGUCAUCAGAUCAAGGUUUUUGAUAUGGUUGAAUCAUGUAGGUGGCAAGUUGCUUGUUUUGAGCUUCCAAUGGUGAUGGUGGCUGGCGUUGGUAAGCUGGCCAGAGACUUCUUUCAAGUUAGUUCAUCCAUGAAUUGACAUUGUAUCCAUUGAUUUAAUUCAUGAUUGUUUGUAAGAAAAAUUUUCAUGUUCGAUGUGUUGGUAAUUAUACUUCUACUGAGAAGUUUAUAUAAUAUUAUUUGGUAGCUUACAAGUUUUGUUUUUUGUCUGAUUCUGGUAGUGUUUUGUCAGUUAUUGGGUAGCAUGAUGUUGGUUGGGGGUGACUAUUUGUGUCUCGGAUUUGUAUGUCUUAGGUUUUUCUCUUGAACAGGAGUCUUUGACUAGGCAUAUCUUUGAUGAGGCAUAUCUGCCAUGUUCAUGUAGUUUUGUUUGCUCAAAACUUGCUUUUUUGUGACUUGCAAUUGUAUGACCCUUUUUUUGAUAUUGUUAUGCUUCCAUGCUUUACAUUAUGUUUUUUAGUUGGCAUCUGUGUGUAUUCUUGGAUUUUUCAUGACUAAAUGACUGUUCAUCACCAAUUUUUGAGUGUUCGUCAUGAGGGGAAUUGGUCCUCAGUUUUCUUCGUUGGUGAGGUGUUUAUGAAUCUUAAUUUUGUUUAUUAGGAAUUUCGGAGCAUCUAAUUUUGGUUGUGUUUAUUUAUUCAAUUGUGAAUUUUUGUAUUACAUUAUUGUUUCAUGAUUAUCUUCUAUAUUGUUUGUUGAUAUUUCAAAACUAUUCCAGUAGUCUAGUUUUUUUAGUAAUUUGCUAGGUUUAGAUAGUAAGCUGAGUUGGAAAAUGAUAAGUGGAAGGUGUUCAUAAUUGUCUUCAGGUAACAAUAAAAUAUUAUUUUGUAAAAAAUAUAACUAUUGGGAAAUAAGCAUAUGAUUGUUUGCAAGCAUGUUUGGAAACAUGUGAAGACAAAAUUUGAAGCUUGAAGAAUAUGAGAAAAGGGUUAUAUAUCUUGAAAUUAAAGAGCAUGUGUUUAUCAUUUUUGAUGUCUACACAUAAAUCAAAGUUGCUUAAUGGUUCUUGGGUGGACGGGUACUUAUCCCUUGUGAAUUUGCUUGGACUGUUUACGAGGAUGUUAUGAUACUUGUGAGACUUUUUACUUGCUGUGGCAUCUUUGAGUUAUUUUGGAGCUUAUUCAGUAUGGUGCCAAUUCCUGUUCAAUUAUGUUUGUUUUUUUUAAUUAUUACAUUUUCCAUGCUUUUACGACUAAUUUACUGUGUUGAAUGUAUUUCCUGUUCAAUCAUGUUUGGUAUUUUCUUUGACUACAUUUUCCAAGUUACUAUGAUUAUUAGAUUACAUUUUCUUUGACUACAUUUUCUUUGUCGAUUAUGCAAUUUGAUUAUUAGAAAUUUGAUUUUGUUGUUCAUAUAGGUUGUAGCAUAUUUUGCAAUUAGUAUGAGAUUUGCAUUGAUUAUGAAUGUCAUCGUUUAUCAAACAGAUGGGUUUUCUGUUUAGAAUUUAAAAUUAAAUACAAAAACAAACAAUAAUAGAAAUAAGACUGGUAAAUUGGACAUUGCAAUAACCACUUUACUAUCAUUGUUGUUUUCCAAGCGUAGCUAAGAAGACUAUAAAGUUGGAUAUUAUGUGAUGUUCAUUGCUGGAUAGGUAUUCUCCAGGGAGGUUGAUCAACUUCUCCUUUUGUCAACAUUUGGUGAUUGCAUUGGACUUCUACUUUACUGCUUGAUUGUUUUAUCUAAUUCUAUUUAUGUAUUCACAUUUUUCUUCUCCUUUUUCCCUAGUUGUCUUUAUUUUUUCUGGUGGUUGGUAAAUUUUCUAUUGUUAAUCUUAACAUCUAUAAUGGUAUUCAAUUGGAAAAUAUGUUGGGCAUAUGAUAGCUGUUGGCUUGAGAAUUAUGGGCAUUAUCUUUUUCCAUGUGAUAGCUGUUGGCUUUGUAGUUAUCUAUUGGUUCAUGUUGUGAGAAGUCUGCUUCUUGUUUUGCUGUUCUGUUGUGACAUUGUAGUUCCAUAAGCAUUGUUCCAUCACCAGGUGCAGUCUGGUUUUGCAUAUAUAAGAGAGAUGAUUACAUCUAUCUUGACUCUCUCCAGAUAGAUUAUAUAAAGCCUGGUGACUGAUACAUCUGCUGUGUUAUUCUCUACAUAAUACGCCUGGUCUCUUUAUGUAUUCAUUUGUUGUCUUUCAGAUCUUCUGAACAUCGAUCUCCUCCUUGAAUUUUUGUUGUGGCAUCCAAUAGAUUUUUUAUUUCUGAAAUUUUGGGGUGUCUUAGCUUCUGAACCUUAAUUUUGUGUUUUUAAUGUGAUCUAUCAUGAUCAUGGGGUCAUCAAAAUGUCUGUUUUUGUUGGAACUUUCUGUGAUAUACUGAUAAUGAAAAUGGUACAUUCUCUGUUCUAAUGAGUUCAUUACAUCCAUUGUUAUUUUUCACUUGGCUAUUGAAGAGCCUAUAGUUUUUAUGUCCUGGUUUUGGUGUUUUGGUUUUGGUUAAUUUUUCAGAAUUUCAUUUUUUUUUCCUCUUGACAUUGCAUUGGGUGGUACAAAUUAUUUUGUGCUUCAUCUUUGUGAACCAUUGAUAUCAGAAUUUCUCUGUGGUCUCUUUCCCUUUAUUCAGGUUUUGCUUUUCUUUUCUUUGAGAUGCAUCCCUGUUUCUCUUAUUCUAUGCUUCAUUUAUUGUUCAAGAAGCUAGGAUGGGACUAACAGUGACUGCAGUAAACCAUGGUUGGUUAUCUCGAGCAAUAAUGGUAUGUAAUUUUGACAGUCUGUUAAAUAUUCAUCAGUAGGGUCACUCGGCGAACUGGGUUUUCAUUUUUAUUAUAUUUUGUAGUUGCAGCAAUCUGUAAGUCAUUAUAUUUUGGUUUCUGAAAGUUUGGGAUGUCUUAGUUUCUGAAAGUAGGUCAUCAAAAUGUGUGAUUGUAGGAAUAGAUCAUAAAAGUGUCUGUGUUUGUAGGAAUUCUGUGAUGUAAUGAUAAUGUAAGCUUUAUGUUCUCUGUUCUGGUGAGUUCAUUUACAUCCAUUCUUCUUCACUCGACUGUCAAAGAACCUAUAGAUUAAUUUUCACAAUAUCCUUUUUUUUUCUUUUAAAUAGAUUUUAAUUGUACAUUGCCUUCAAUUCUAUAUCACAAUUUUUGUUGUUACUUUAUGGACAUUGUAUUAGGUGGUACAAAUUAUGUUGCACUUCAUCAUUGUGAACCAUUGGUACUAAAUCUCUCUGCUGCUCUCUUUCCACUUGUUCAGCUUUUGCUCGUCUCUUUUUCUAAACAUGUGCUUGAUUCUCUUCUAUGCUUUAUCUAUUGUUCAGAAGUUAGGACAAGGCUAACAGUGAAUGUGGUAUGUAAUUUUCACUUGUUUGGAUGGUCUGUUAAAUAUUCAUUAAUUGGGUCAUUUGGCAAACAGGUUUUUGAUUUCUGUAAUAUUUUGAAGCGGCAGCAUGUUAGUCAUGUUCGAGUCUAAGGAUGUUUAGAUGUACUCUAUAUAUGAAGUUUUUUCUUUUGCAUUAUUUCUGAAUUUUUUUUUUUAUUCCUAUAUGCAUCUAUCUCAUGUUAGUUCGUUUGGUUUUGUAUCUUGAUUAUGUUAUGAACUAUUUCAAUAUGGUUAAAGAGAUCGUACCGGUCCGUAUCGGUAUACUAACUAGUUGUUGGUAUGGUACGUAUCGAGUUGUACCAAAUGUACCGACACAUGGUAUAUUGAUAUUGAUAUACUACCCAUACUGGUCCCUUGUGGGACUGGUACGUACCACUCAUACCGGUACUCUGUGGUACAACGAACCUUGAGUGUAAGAGUUGUAAAUGAGUUCAAUAUCUCCUACUGACAUCCACACAGUUAUAGUUGCCUUAUUUUUGCUUUGUGUUUUUUGUAUGUUCGGUAAAUUAAUAAUUUGUUUGUUUAAUGUUUUCUGUUUGGCAUUUGUAUUGUCACAAAAGAUGCUUCCUCUCGAGUAUUUUCAACAAAAAAGAAACCAUGCCCAUUGGUGAACAUUUUGUAGGCAGCAUUCUAGUGCAUGUUAAGGAACAUCAUCAUGUUAAUUAUAAGCUUCUCUGAGAGCAGCUGUAGGAAAAACUUGGAUUUUGUUCUUUACUGGCAGGGCUUAUGAAUGAUACUGGUGUUUUGAGUUUGAGACUUAAAUAAGCCCUACUUGUAUUUAUUGUUGCUGUAAUUAACUUACUCUAGGAGCUGUUCUGGUUAUGCAAGCCACACAUUAAUAUGAGCAAAUACAUCAGAAUUUCUAAAUUGGAUACUGGUGAACCUACAUGGUACAUGGAUAUAGACUCGGGUAUUCAUGUUAUUGUCUAUCUUAUAGCUUGAGCUAAUCAGCUGUAAGUGUUCAUUUUUCAGUAAUGUGGAAAAGAAGUUUCAGGAGUCCCCACAAAAUUAAAUGUUUCAGUGGCAUCAAUGUUAUACAAACUCCCUAUACAAAAUUCUUGUAAAAACUUCAUUGGUGAAGAACCUCAUCGGUUGUUUACCUUGAUUUAUUCAAGGUUGUGGAAGGCAUUAACAAUCUUUUUGUAGUUGAAAGCUUUUUUGUGGUUCAUCAAUAUGUUGGGAUUUGUUUAUUGUCUUCUUAGAACUCUGACGUGUAUAUUCCUUUUAUAUUAGACAUCAAAGAAAUUUUUAUUUUUUAUCUGUUGUUAGUUGUAAUUUUUACUAGGAUGUUUUUUGAUUGUGAUGUCAAAUGAGUGCUUUUAAGUGAUUUAAAGGUAGCACAGUUGUGGUGUUAGAACACUGUUUUAGUGAUCAUUCAAGUAUUUAGACAUUAUUUUAAGCACUAUGUAGCCUUGUUUGGGUAACUACCUUUUUAUGUAGUGUAACUACCUUUUUAAGCACUAUAUACUGUGUAUAUGUAUGUGUACUUGUUGUGAGUAUCAAAACAACGGGCGUUACACAUUACAAGUCCUCUUCCCUUUCCUUUUAUUUGCAUCAGACUUUAGAUGUUUAGUUGUUUUGUGAUUAUAUGUGAAUUUUUUGCAUGUCUUGCGCAACUGAUGUGUGUUCUGUGUCUUGCAAUGUCUAUAAUUCCUUGUACAAGACCAUACUGGAAAGACAUGAGAAUGUCUUGGUCGUUGCAUUUGGUAAUGUGUAUUUAUGCUAGAUUUAUUUUUGACUCAAUAGAUUAGCAAUAAAUUUAUAUGUUAUAUUUAUAUGUCCUUGUUCAUGUCUAGUGAAUUCAUCAUGGAAAUUUAUUAUUGCUUAGAAAUUGUGAUUGUUCUGUUUUCUGAAUAUUUAUCAUGUACUUUAUAUGUAUGUUAUAUUUAUGCAGCUUUUGAUCCGUUUUCAUCCCUUCUUUCUGACUUGUUAUCCAUUCCAUGUUAAACUGACAGAAACUGUCACAAUGUUGUAUAAUGAUGUCAUUUUAUUCCCCUUCAAUAGUAUUUGAAUUGCCUUGCUGUCCAUUCCAACCAAAGAAUUGUAUCUCAACUAUCAGACGUAUACUAGUUUAGGUCUAAGAAUAAUAUUAAGUAUUAGACCUAUAUCUGUUUAGUCCCACAUUGGUAUGGGUCUAAACCAUAUUGGCGGGGAAGGGUGUGGGCGAGGCAUCACACAGAGGCACGAGGCCUUGCAGUGGGAGCAUACAGCAAAGGCGACGGACGGGCGAAGAGUAGAAUUACAACAAUUUAGGGGUACUAUUUGGGUAAAAAGAAGAAGGCAUCAACAAUAUGUUUAUGAGCUCUUAUGCAAGAGCCAUGGGAUAAAAGCACCACCUUGUUGUUCCAGCUGUUUUGUGUUUCCUGAUAUUACUAAACUACUUAGUUGAUUUUUCUUCUUUCAUGUUGUUAGGGUUCUCUGGUAUCAUCGAUUGAGAUGUGGUCUAAGCAUCCUUUAGUAGUUUUAUUAUUGUUAUAAAAUUCUAUUUUUUUAUGAACCUAGAAGGUCAGGCAGAGAACUAUGUCAAUAAUGAUAGCUGCAAGAAAGGGUUGGUGUUUGCUAAUAUUUAGAUCUGGGCUGUUGGUUGUCAUUGUGUUUGAAACAUUAAUUAUAGAAGGAAAGCGGAAUUUGGGUUUCUUAGUUUCUUUAGUUGAUUCUUGGUCUGCUCAGGAUGAGUUCUAGUUUCUUCAGUUGAUUCUUAGUCUGCUCAGGAUGAGUUCUAGUUUCUUUUAUCGGUUCUUAUUCUGCACCAGAGUAGUAUAUGAUGUAUUAUUGGGAGUCCUGACAUGAUAGUCAGUUUCAAUGAGUUCAGCUUGUUGGUUCAUCAAUUUCAUACAUGAAAUGGUUCUGGAUUUUGGAUCCGCAUUUUGUGUGUCAUGAGCAAGCUCUGGUUAUUCUAAUUGAUUAGGUUUUUAAUGUGCUGAUACUCUUCUCCAAGGGAACCAUACUCUUAUCAUUCUUUUUGUGUUUAGGAGGAAAGCCAAUUAUCAUUCUUUUUGCACCCUCAAAAAAGUUUUUCAUGUUUGGGCUUUUGAAGUUGAUCUUGUGAUUGCUUGACAACCAUCAGUAUCUUGCAGUAUGGAUUAGCUUAUGUGUAAGGUUCAGAUAGAUGGUGCAGGUUUUAUUAUGUAAAGAAAUAGAACACUUCGUCUAGCCUUGGUUUCAUUAUUAUUAUUCUAUUUCCAUUUCCUUGCUUGGUUGGCAACAUGAGCAUUGAUAUUUGUAGUGGAUCAUGUAAAUGUGAAGCUUGUUAUAUUGGGUUGAAGCUGCUAAUAACUGGAUUGAUGGUUCUUUGUUUGGUUGAUUGGCUGACUGAUCAUCCCAAUGGCACUGGACUAGUUGAUUCAAUUUGUUGGGACUGACUGAUGGUUGUCAUCAAGUUAUUAGUUGGGACUGAUCUUUGAAUAAUGCUGCAGCAUGAGGCCGAUUAUAGUUUAUAGUUUUGACUGGCCAUCAGAUAAUGGCACUGGAACAGUUCAUUGGAUAUGGAAUAGUGGUGCAGGUUUUAGGUUGUCGUAGGGUUCAGUUUGACCGGGCUUUGCUAAUCAUGUGUGUUUGUUCUUAUUUCAAUGUUUUUUAUAGUUUGUCUCAGGUAUGUUUCAGCGGUGUUGGAUGGUUUUGUCUAGUUUGUUUGUUGCGUAAUAACGUGUGAUCAUAGUUUUUUUUUCAUAUAAAUAUAAAUUUAGUGGAAUUUACUA